rnacentral:rRNA from 1 species
AUACUUCCAAGAAAAGCUUGCACUGUCAUAAAUAGAAAACGCCUGUACCAUAACCGACACAGGUGGGUAGGUAGAGUAUACUAAGGGGCGCGAGAUAACUCUCUCUAAGGAACUCGGCAAAAUGACUCCGUAACUUCGGGAGAAGGAGUGCCUUAUUCGUAAGGCUGCAAUAACAAGAUCCAAGCAACUGCUUAUCAAAAACACAGGUCUCCGCUAAGUCGUAAGACGAUGUAUGGGGGCUGACGCCUGCCCAGUGCCAGAAGGUUAAAGAAGUCGGUUAACAUUAGCGAAGCUGGUAACUGAAGCCCUGGUGAACGGCGGCCGUAACGAUAACGGUCCUAAGGUAGCGAAAUUCCUUGUCGGGUAAGUUCCGACCCGCACGAAAGGCGUAAUGAUUUGGAUACUGUCUCGGAGAGGGGCUCGGUGAAAUAGACUUGUCUGUGAAGAUGCGGACUACCUGCACCAGGACAGAAAGACCCUAUGAAGCUUUACUGUAACUUGAAAUUGAAAUUGGACUUUAUUCGCGCAGUAUAGGUGGGAGGUGUUGAUUAUAAUCUUGCGGGAUUAUUGGAGCCAUCAGUGAGAUACCACUCUUGUAAUGUUAGAUUUCUAACUUUGAAUCAUUAUCUGGUCAAAGAACAGUUUCAGGCGGGCAGUUUGACUGGGGCGGUCGCCUCCUAAGUGGUAACGGAGGCGUACAAAGGUUUCCUCUGAACGGGUAGAAAUCGUAUCUAGAGUGUAAAGGCAUAAGGAAGCUUGACUGUGAGACCUACAAGUCGAGCAGGGACGAAAGUCGGUCUUAGUGAUCUGACGGUACUGAGUGGAAAGGCCGUCACUCAACGGAUAAAAGUUACUCUAGGAUAACAGGCUGAUCUCCCCCAAGAGUUCACAUCGACGGGGAGGUUUGGCACCUCGAUGUCGGCUCAUCGCAUCCUGGGGCGGUAGUACGUCCCAAGGGUUGGGCUGUUCGCCCAUGAAAGCGGUACGCGAGCUGGGUUCAGAACGUCGUGAGACAGUUCGGUCCAUAUCCGGUGUAGGCGUUAGAAUAUUGAGAGGAGCCUUCUUUAGUACGAGAGGACCGAGAAGGACAUACCUCUGGUGUACCAGUUAUCGUGCCAACGGUAAACGCUGGGUAGCUAUGUAUGGAGUGGAUAACCGCUGAAAGCAUCUAAGUGGGAAGCCCACCUCAAGAUAAGUAUUCCC